UACGUAGGGGGCAAGCGUUAUCCGGAUUUACUGGGUGUAAAGGGAGUGUAGGCGGCAAGGUAAGUCAGAUGUGAAAACCCAGGGCUCAACCCUGGGACUGCAUUUGAAACUAUCUUGCUGGAGUGUCGGAGAGGUAAGUGGAAUUCCUAGUGUAGCGGUGGAAAUGCGUAGAGUAUUAGGAGGAACACCGGUGGCGAAGGCGGGUCUCUGGGCAGUAACUGACGCUGAGGAGCGAAAGCGUGGGGAGCGAACAGG
rnacentral:rRNA from 1 species